rnacentral:rRNA from 1 species
CAUUACCAGGAAACGGUGCCCUUGGGCCCGAUCCUCCAACCACUGUGUACCAAACAAUAAGUUGCCUCGGCGGGCCAGGCCUUGUGCUGUCCCCUCUUGCGAGGGGUAGUGCCCGCCGCAGGAACCUUUAAAGACGCCUUUGUAUGAUGAACGUCUGAUUACAUUUUGCAAAUGCAAAGUACAACUUUCAACAAUGGAUCUCUUGGCUCCGGCAUCGAUGAAGAACGCAGCGAAAUGCGAUAGCUAGUGUGAAUUGCAGAUUUCAGUGAAUCAUCGAGUCUUUGAACGCACAUUGCGCCCCUUGGUAUUCCUUGGGGCAUGCCUAUUCGAGCGUCGUUGUAACUCUCAAGCGCAAGCUUGGUGUUGGGGACCGCUCCUCUGACGAGGUGGCGGCCCUUGAAUCCAUCGGCGGUGCCGGUGCAGCCUGGAGCGCAGCAGCAAUGCAGCUACCUUGGGCCUGCCCGGAGCCUGCCAGAAUCUCAGCCAGCCGCUUGCGGUGGGCGACUACAACUCUUGCUCGACCUCGAAUUAGGUAGGGAUACCCGCUGAACUUAAGCAUAUCAAUAAGCGGAGGAAAAGAAACCAACAGGGAUUGCCUUAGUAACGGCGAGUGAAGCGGCAACAGCUCAAAUUUGAAAUCUGUCUCCUUUGGAGGCCGAGUUGUAAUUUGUAGAGGAUGCUUCGGCGUUGGCGCUGCCCAAAGUUCCUUGGAACGGGACGUCAUAGAGGGUGAGAGCCCCGUGUCUAGGUGGAUGCCUUUGCCUUGUGAAGCUCCUUCGACGAGUCGAGUUG